rnacentral:rRNA from 1 species
GAUGAACGCUGGCGGCGUGCUUAACACAUGCAAGUCGAACGAUGAAGCCCAGCUUGCUGGGUGGAUUAGUGGCGAACGGGUGAGUAACACGUGAGUAACCUGCCCUUAACUCUGGGAUAAGCCUGGGAAACUGGGUCUAAUACCGGAUAGGAGCGCCUACCGCAUGGUGGGUGUUGGAAAGAUUUAUCGGUUUUGGAUGGACUCGCGGCCUAUCAGCUUGUUGGUGAGGUAAUGGCUCACCAAGGCGACGACGGGUAGCCGGCCUGAGAGGGUGACCGGCCACACUGGGACUGAGACACGGCCCAGACUCCUACGGGAGGCAGCAGUGGGGAAUAUUGCACAAUGGGCGAAAGCCUGACGCAGCGACGCCGCGUGAGGGAUGACGGCCUUCGGGUUGUAAACCUCUUUCAGUAGGGAAGAAGCGAAAGUGACGGUACCUGCAGAAGAAGCACCGGCUAACUACGUG